AGUGGCGAACGGGUGAGUAACGCGUGGGUAACCUGCCCUAUGGAAAGGAAUAGCCUCGGGAAACUGGGAGUAAUGCCUUAUAAUAUAUGUUUGUCGCAUGGCAGAUAUAUUAAACGCUCCGGUGCCAUAGGAUGGACCCGCGUCCCAUUAGCUAGUUGGUGAGAUAACAGCCCACCAAGGCGACGAUGGGUAACCGGUCUGAGAGGGCGAACGGUCACACUGGAACUGAGACACGGUCCAGACUCCUACGGGAGGCAGCAGUGGGGAAUAUUGCGCAAUGGGGGAAACCCUGACGCAGCAAUACCGCGUGAGUGAAGAAGGUUUUCGGAUCGUAAAGCUCUGUUAUUGGGGAAGAAAAAAAGACGGUACCCAAGAAGAAAGUCCCGGCUAACUACGUGCCAGCAGCCGCGGUAAUACGUAGGGGACAAGCGUUGUCCGGAUUUACUGGGCGUAAAGGGCACGCAGGCGGUUUUUUAAGUCAGAUGUGAAAGGUACCGGCUCAACCGGUGACAUGCAUUUGAAACUGAAAGACUUGAGUAUUGGAGAGGCAAGUGGAAUUCCUAGUGUAGCGGUGAAAUGCGUAGAUAUUAGGAGGAACACCGGUGGCGAAGGCGGCUUGCUGGACAAAUACUGACGCUGAGGUGCGAAAGC
rnacentral:rRNA from 1 species